rnacentral:rRNA from 1 species
AUGGAUGAAGCCGAGACGGGUCUCCAAAGCUUUCCAGGUGCUCCUAAAGCUCUGUUAGCACUAAUCGAUGGAAGUGGGGUGGAUGCUACAGAUAAUAACUUGCCAACGAGUAGUGACUCAGUUCGAGAGGUGUUGGCCCUCACUAAAGCCAACGUCCCCAACCUAGUCUUCUUAAGUGAGACUAGGCAAGAUGUGGUGAGAAUGGAGAAGCUGAAGUGGAGAUUGGGGUUAAAAGGAUUCCAUGGUGUGAGUUCGGAUGGAAGAAGUGGUGGUUUGGCCCUCUUUUGGGAUGAAGCCCUGACGGUGACUGCCUUGGAUUCGUGCAGUCGCUAUAUUGAUGUUCAUGUUGAUGAUGUGGGUGGUGGGACCUCAUGGAGAGGGACCUUUGUGUAUGGAGAGCCUAGAACGGAAAACAAACACCUGAUGUGGGAACAUCUAGUUCGGCUCAGGGCAAGCUCACAGGAUCCGUGGUUGGUUUGUCGAGAUUUCAACGAAGCUAUGUGGCAACAUGAGCAUCUUUCCAGGAAUCUGAGAUCAGAAACGCAAGUGCUAGCCUUCAGAGACUGCUUGCUGCUAUGUGAGCUCGAGGAUCUGGGAUUCUCAGGCAUACCUUAUCAUACAAUAAUGGACAAGAGGGGAAUCGUAAUGUUCAAGUUAGACUUGAUCGAGCGUGUGCGGAUGAGGCGUGGCGUGAUGAUACGUCCAUUUUGCAUCAUGCUUUGA